CCUGGCGGCCUCGCGGAGUGCGGCCCCGGGGUCGGCGUCGCCGCGCUGCGGGGGUUCCGCGUGCGGCCGCGGCCUCCAUCUUGGAGGACACUGGCUCCAUCUUGCUGGCCCUGGAAUGCAGGCCAGCUCGAGGGAGUGUUCGAUGGGGCGGGGCUUGCUCUGUACCCCAGGCUUGCCUUGAACCCGCGGCAGUCCUCCCGGGGGCUGGGAUGACCGUCGUGUGCCCCCCUCGCCGGCUCCAUCCACCCUGUGCGGGCUUUAUACGUGCGGACGUGCGGGUACCGUGGAGACCAGGUAUUGCUCGGGCUGGUCUCGAACUCGUGGGCCUCCGACCGCUGGACACUCUCAGCCACAGCGGUGCCCCUGAUAUUUGAUGCGUUUAGACCGAACGUCCCCGCGUACACCCGCGCGGGUCCUUCCCUGCAUUCUUAAACCCUCUUGGCGGCUUCGCUCAGGUGCCUCCAAGAUAUGAGUGAAUGCUAGAGAGACCGCGGGGAGUCCAAAGGGCUGCGCCUCGCGUGGCUCAGCCUUAUUUCAUACCUGCGACAUCUUUUAGGUGGUUCAUCGGAGGGAAAUCGUGACACCCCUUAACUAGGGCGCCCUUAAACUUCAAGUGCCUUUCAACUGAAUGCCAUGUCUUGACACUUGAUGGAGCAAAAUAGAAUGCUUGAAGACCGGUACUCUCAAGUUGAGUGUUGGAGUAGAUGCUCCAUCACUUCCUAGUGGCCUUGG